AUGGUUGCCGAUGUCCACCGCACCUUGCUAUACGGCGGCAUAUUUUUGUACCCCGCGGACAAGAAGAGCCCAAACGGAAAGCUCCGUGUGAUGUAUGAGGUGUUCCCCAUGUCAUUCCUGAUGGAGGAAGCCGGAGGCCAGUCUUUCACAGGCAAAGGACGGUCUCUCGACCUGAUCCCCACCGACAUCCACGAGAGAUCCCCGAUAUUCCUCGGCAGCAGCGACAACGUGGAGGAGAUCAAGGCGCUGUACGCGGAGGAGGCCAAGAAGGCCGUCGCGCGCAAGGCGUCGGCCAUCUCGUUGCCGGCGAUCUCGUUGGACAGCGAGCGCGGCACCGUCGUGAAUCUCCAGCGCUCGCAGGAAAUAGCAGACAUUGAGUUAACUGGUAUCAUGGUAGACAUGGAGUUUGGAGAUCUGCUAAAAGACUGGAUAGAUGAUUGGUCAGAUGAUGAAAGUUCAGAGCGUACAGAUUGGUCAGAGAAUGGGAACGAAGGGGAAGAUCUUAAUAUAGACGAGGUUGAUGAUGGUCAGGAAAACAACUCCAAGGUCUCGAAUGAAGAUUACAUUCGUCAGGACUAUUACGGUGAAUCCGACGCGGAGACAAGCUUGAUGACGAAUCAUUAG
rnacentral:rRNA from 1 species